rnacentral:rRNA from 1 species
AGAGUUUGAUCCUGGCUCAGGAUGAACGCUAGCGACAGGCUUAACACAUGCAAGUCGAGGGGCAGCACAGGUAGCAAUACCGGGUGGCGACCGGCGCACGGGUGAGUAACGCGUAUGCAACUUACCUAUCAGAGGGGGAUAACCCGGCGAAAGUCGGACUAAUACCGCAUGAAGCAGGGGCCCCGCAUGGGGAUAUUUGCUAAAGAUUCAUCGCUGAUAGAUAGGCAUGCGUUCCAUUAGGCAGUUGGCGGGGUAACGGCCCACCAAACCGACGAUGGAUAGGGGUUCUGAGAGGAAGGUCCCCCACAUUGGUACUGAGACACGGACCAAACUCCUACGGGAGGCAGCAGUGAGGAAUAUUGGUCAAUGGGCGUAAGCCUGAACCAGCCAAGUCGCGUGAGGGAUGAAGGUUCUAUGGAUCGUAAACCUCUUUUAUAAGGGAAUAAAGUGCGGGACGUGUCCCGUUUUGUAUGUACCUUAUGAAUAAGGAUCGGCUAACUCCGUGCCAGCAGCCGCGGUAAUACGGAGGAUCCGAGCGUUAUCCGGAUUUAUUGGGUUUAAAGGGUGCGUAGGCGGCCUUUUAAGUCAGCGGUGAAAGUCUGUGGCUCAACCAUAGAAUUGCCGUUGAAACUGGGGGGCUUGAGUAUGUUUGAGGCAGGCGGAAUGCGUGGUGUAGCGGUGAAAUGCUUAGAUAUCACGCAGAACCCCGAUUGCGAAGGCAGCCUGCCAAGCCAUGACUGACGCUGAUGCACGAAAGCGUGGGGAUCAAACAGGAUUAGAUACCCUGGUAGUCCACGCAGUAAACGAUGAUCACUAGCUGUUUGCGAUACAGUGUAAGCGGCACAGCGAAAGCGUUAAGUGAUCCACCUGGGGAGUACGCCGGCAACGGUGAAACUCAAAGGAAUUGACGGGGGCCCGCACAAGCGGAGGAACAUGUGGUUUAA